rnacentral:lncRNA from 1 species
UUAUGGCGGCUAUGCUAUUGUCUAUUGAAUUCUUUCUUGUUUCUUCACCACGUUUCGUGACCACACAUUCGCCACCACGUUCGCUGGCCGUCGGUCCGAAAGUUUUUAACUGCCAAUAUAUCCAAUUUUAAUUCCUAUCUUAUUUUAUUCUAUCAGUGUCCAUUUUAAUUACGAACUUCAAAAUGAAUUCCAUUAAGCCUGAAAUCAUCCCUGAUAUUCUUCUUGAUCCUGGCACGAAAAAACGUUACGUGAGAGGCCAGUUACUUGGAAAGGGUGAGUUUGCCAAAUGCUAUGAGCUCACAGACAGCGCUACCAACCAGAUCUUUGCUGGAAAAAUCAUUUCCAAGCAGCUUUUGAAAAGGCAGCACCAGAGGGAUAAGAUGGCCCAGGAGAUUUCUAUUCAUCGCUGGCUGGUCCAUAAACACGUUGGAUUUCACAGCUUUUUUGAGGACAGCAACUUUGUCUUCAUUGUUUUGGAGCUUUGCAAAAGAAGGAGUCUCAUGGAGCUGCAUCAAAGAAGAAGUGUUAUCACUGAACCCAAAGCUCGCUCUUUCAUGCACCAACUUCUUCUUGGUGUAAAGUUUCUCCACGAAAACAAGAUCAUUCACAGAAACUUGAAACGGGAUAAUCUUUUCCUCAAUGAAGGCAUGGAGCUGAAGAUUGGAGACUUUGGCCUUGCAACAUAGUUAGAUUUUGACGGUGAAAGGAAAAAGACUCUGUGUGGCACUCCCAACUACAUUGCACCCGAAGUUUUGUGCAAACAAGGUCACAGUUUUGAAGUGGAUAUCUGGUCUGUGGGCUGCAUUUUAUAUACUUUAUUGGUUGGGCAUCCACUGCGACUCGAUCCCCGCCUCGACAAGGGUGUUAUUGACGUCCGUCGACCUCUUGGCGAUAUAAAACAGGAUGUUAAUUCAAUAAAAUACAAGGCUUCAAGGUCGAACCAGGUAGCCCAUCAGCCACUGCCGACACACCACUUCUGGCCGUUCCAUCUGGCCCAUCGCCUCAGCAACUGCUCCGUGACUUGCAGCAACAACUUUUCACCUCGAAACCCAACGAGAAAGUUCCAAUCCUCAUGGAUGAGGCCGAAGACCCUGCUGUCAUUCCAAUGGUGUGGGUUUCCAAAUGGGCCGACUUCAUUUUCGGCAUUGGUUAUCAAUUGAGUGACGACACGAUCGGUGUUCUUUUUUAAAAUCUCACCAAGCUUUUAUUGCACGUCGAUUCAAAGUAGCCGAAAUGUUCGGAAAUUUUUUUUCUUUAUCGAUUAUGAAACGCUUGGCGCGUAAAAGGAAAGGGAGGAUUUUUUCGCUCACAUAUUUCAAUCGCUGUAGCAAAUCUUUUGAGGAACCGUAUUGAGCUAGAGAAGUAAGCCGAAAUGUUCGGAAAUUUUUAUCUUCAUCGAUUACUGAAACGGCUCCCAUCAACGCGAAUAUAUUUUAUUGAUGCCACUAAAUUAGCAAUCUGUCUUAACAAACGAAAUUAUUCUGUGUCCGUUGAUGAGAGCCGUUUCAGUAAUCGAUGAAGAUAAAAAUUUCCGAACAUUUCGGCUCACUUCUCUAGCUCAAUACGGGUCCUCAAACGAUUUGCUACAGCGGUUGAAAUAUGUGAGCGAAAAAAUCCUCCCUUUCCUUUUACGCACCAAGUGAUUUUUUAUUUUUAAAUAUAUAUUUUUUUAAUGUGAAUAUUCGCCCAAAUGUCCUCCCAGCUUUUAAUGAUUUAUUCUUCAUAUUUUUAUGAUUGUUUUUUAAAUGUGAAACUGCCUAAAUUGAACAUCCUUCUCUUACUUAUAGUCUUAUACUUCAAAUACUUUCUCUAUAACGGUUUUUCGUGAUCAAAAUGGUAGAUAACCCAAAUUAUUCUAUAACCUAAACUAAAAGAAAAUACACGUAAUUUUUUAAUUAUCGAUCAUUCAUUCCAAUCGUGCAUCGCGCAAUAACAAAUAUCAAUACAGCAGACGAUUCGAGUAGAAAUGUAACCAUGACACCAUGUGAAAAGGAAUGGCCGAAUGGGUUGAUUAAAUAGAAAAUUCCACUUUGAGAAAGAAGAAAGAAAGAAUUGUAGUUUAGAUAGAAUCAAAGCAUUUCGGGAUAAGUGAUUUCAUCAUGCUGUUGUUAUUGGAUUUACAUCUCUCAUGUGGGGAAUCUCGACUUCAUCUUCUGUGACACUUUGGUAUUGCAGUGAAAGGAACAGUCCUAUCACAUCCCAAGUUGAAAUAAAGUUAGACUGAUAUAAAGACAGGCUGGCAAUCAUAACAAAUUAGUUUUUGAGUAAUUUAUAUUGUUUUAAAAUCUAGACCAAGAUCAAUUGCAGUGUAUGAAGUUUAUCGCAACUGCACUAAUAUGUAAAUAUGAGCUGUACAUGUUUCAUAGAAUGUAAGUUUGACGUAAUUUCAUCUCAAAGUCUUCAUUGUUUCCUUAAAGUUUUCUUGGAAUGUGGCAAGAACAGGCUGAUGGCAACUUGUAGAUGUCGAUGAAGAU